GAUGAAGAACGUAGCGAAAUGCGAUACGUAGUGUGAAUUGCAGAAUUCAGUGAAUCAUCGAAUCUUUGAACGCACAUUGCGCCCCUUGGUAUUCCGAGGGGCAUGCCUGUUCGAGCGUCAUUAUAACCCCUCAAGCUCAGCUUGGUGUUGGGGCCUGCUGCACUGGCAGCCCUUAAAAUCAGUGGCGGCGCCAUCUGGCUCUAAGCGUAGUAAUUCUUCUCGCUAUGGAGUCCUGGUGGAUGCUUGCCAUCAACCCCCAAUUUUUCUAUGGUUGACCUCGGAUCAGGUAGGGAUACCCGCUGAACUUAAGCAUAUCAAUAAGCGGAGG
rnacentral:misc_RNA from 1 species